UCGAGCAAUCAUGUGAUGAUAC
rnacentral:siRNA from 1 species